rnacentral:rRNA from 1 species
CCCUUAGAUGUUCUGGGCCGCACGCGCGCUACACUGAUGCAUUCAACGAGUGUACCUUGGCCGAGAGGCCUGGGCAAUCUUUUGAACGUGCAUCGUGAUAGGGAUAGAUUAUUGCAAUUAUUAAUCUUGAACGAGGAAUUCCUAGUAAACGCAGUUCAUCAAACUGCAUUGAUUACGUCCCUGCCCUUUGUACACACCGCCCGCCGCACCUACCGAUUGGAUGGUCCGGUGAAGCCUCGGGAUUGUGGCGGUUGCCUUUAUUGGUGGCCGCCGCGAGAACUUGUCUAAACCUUAUCAUCUAGAGGAAGGUGAAGUCGUAACA